AGUGUGUGUGAUACAGUAUGCAGCAUUAUCCCUCUUUAGCAUUAUGUGUCUGCACGGCUCCCCUCGGGGCGACAAGGCACACUCCGAUGCAAUUCAACACUAAUCAGACACCGCUUGCCUGUUCUUGGAUGGGUUCUUGUUCUCUCACCAUAUGAAUAACAUGGCGCCUUAGGGCACCGCUUGCUAUAUGACGGAGGGGCCCCCAUAUAGCCCGCUCUGUGGGAGGACCUCCUAAUCCAGGAUUAUUCCCCCAGACUUGCAGCCGGCUGGAUUAGGCGGAGGCGGUGGGGUGGGAGGUAGUCGAUUUGGAAAAAGGGCAACGUCAGCACCUUUCCUCUAGCGGCUCGGUGGAUUACAGGACGACUGCACACCAAAUACGGACAUGGAAAAGAGGCUUGAGCGCACGCUGCAUGACAAGGCUCUCAAUUGGAUUGAGGACAGGGGAAAAAGGGGGCCAAACUAUGAGUUUCUCUCCUUUUAUGCCCAUGACAGCCAAUGACAGAGAGGAAUCUGGCGAGGGGGAGCUGAGACUGGGAACAGACGUCUGGGUCAAGGAGAGAGGAAAGAGGGAGUAGAAAGGAAAUGACGGAUGCUGCAACUUAGAGUAGUCAGUGUACAGCUGAUAUAGUAUAUAGUAUGUACAGGGUCCGGCAAAAUGAUCUGACACAUUUGUAGGUUAAAUAAAAGGCAAAUAAAGUAAAGAAACAAAAAAGUGUUUUUAUUUUCGAAAAGUACAUAUAAUGCCAUUUUGCUUUGUUUCUUUAUAAUGCCAUAGUUUUUGGUUUCUUUUUCAGUUGCCGCCAUGAAUUGGACUGGUGAGCAUCGUGCUUUCAUUGUGGAAACGUUUAUCAAAACAAACGAGUCUGUAACUGCAACACAACGAGCAUUCCGUUUGCACGUCAAUCUUGGUAGACGUGAUCCCGUACCAGCCCGAAACACCAUCUUGUUAUGGGUUACCAACUUCACAGCUACUGGAUCUGCAUUGAGCGUGUGGACAAUAAUGGAUCCCAUUUGACUGAUUUAAUUUUUAAAACAUAAUGAAACAGAAUGGCAUUGAAAAUAAAAACACUUUCUUGUUUCUUUGCUUUAUUUGCCUUCUAUUUAACCUACAAAUGUGUCAGAUCAUUUUGCCUGACCCUGUAUAUACUGCUAUACAAGCCGCAAGCUACAUUAUCCAGCGCUGCUUUAAUCCUCAUGGGCAUGGAACUGAGGAGAGCUGCAGUUUGUUACCACUCGAUGCCGCCACAACUGGUGGAUGUUGGACAUCUUGCACUCCUCCACCUUCCCUCAUUCCUCUGGAGCAGGGGCGUCCAAACGUUUUCCAGCCAGGUCCACAUACUGAAAAAUGAAAGAACACAUGUAUAUGCUAUGAAGUUAUGUAUAUGUCAAGAAAAAAGACUGCAUCUCAGCUUUGUGACAUCAGUGAAAAAAAGGUCUAUUAUUAGUAUCAACUUCAUUCUGUGCUCUUUUUUCCCCAUUAUUGCUGUACAUUUUCAAAAUAUUUCAAUUGUAGAUGUUCUUCUUGUAACAUUAUGACUUUAUUUCCUUAAUAUUUUGACUUUAUUCCCAUAUUAUAACUUUUUCCCCCAAAUAUUUCUACUUUAUGCCACUAAAGUGACAUUGAAUUCUUCAAUGAGUGUGGAGUGAUUUUUUGAUCAAGAAUCAAUUUUGCUUUAUUCAAUAUU